rnacentral:rRNA from 1 species
AGAGUUUGAUUAUGGCUCAGGAUAACGUUGGCUGUGUGCCUAAGGUAUGCAAGUCGAACGAUCUGUAUCGAUAGUGGCAAACGGGUGAGUAACACGUAGAUAACUUGCCUCGAAGUCGGGAAUAGCUCGUCGAAAGACGGGGUAAUAUCCGAUGCUCUAACCACUUCUGUGUUUUAGAGUAAAGCUUUUGUGCUUCGAGAGAGGUCUGCGUCCUAUCAGCUAGUUGGUAAGGUAAUGGCUUACCAAGGCUAAGACGGGUAGCUGGUGUGAGAGCACGGUCAGCCACCAUGGAACUGAGACACGGUCUAUACUCCUACGGGAGGCAGCAAUUAGGAAUCUUGCGCAAUGGGGGCAACCCUGACGCAGCGACACAGCGUGGAGGAGGUUCGUUGACCACUUUUCUAGGGGACCCUAGGAAUAAGGGGUGACAAACUCGUGCCAGCAGUAGCGGUAAUACGAGUGCCCCAAGCGUUAUCCGGAUUUAUUGGGCGUAAAGGGUCUGUAGGUGGUUUGUUAAGUUUCUCGUUAAACUCCAGGGCUUAACCUUGGAAAAGCGGGAAAAACUGGCAAACUAGAGGAUGUUAGAGGCUGAUGGAACACUGUGAAGGGGUGGAAUCCGUUGAUAUCAAGUGGAACACCGAAAGCGAAAGCAAUCAGCUGGGACGUCCUGACACUGAAAGACGAAAGCGUGGGGAGAGAAAAGGAUUAGAUACCCUUGUAUUCCACGCCUUAAACGAUGAAUACUAGCUAUUGCAAGGUCGACUGCAGUGGCGAAGCUAACGCGUUAAGUAUUCCGCCUGGGAAGUACGGCCGCAAGGCUAAAACUCAAAGGAAUAGACGGGGACCUACACAAGCGGUGGAUCACGUGGCUUAAUUCGAUAAUAAGCGAGGAACCUUACCAGGGCAAAGGUAAUGAAAGCAUCGAAAGAUUUGCCACAACAUUACCAGGUGCUGCAUGGUUGUCGUCAGCAGGUGGCUUGAGUUGCUCCCUUAAAUGGGGUAACCUGCGCAACCCUUGCUCUAUGUUUCAUGUGUCAUAGAGGACUGCCUGGGACAACCAGGAGGAAGGUGAGGAUGACGCCAAAUCAGCAUGGCCCUAUGUCCUGGGCUGCACACGUGAUACAAUGGGAUUGACAACGGGAAGCGAAAGAGUAAUCUGGAGCAAUCCUUCAAACAAUUCCUCAAUUCGGAUUGAGGUCUGAAACUCGACCUCAUGAAGUCGGAAUCGCUAGUAACCGCAGAUCAGCCAUGCUGCGGUGAAUAUGUCCCUGGGUCUUGCACACACCCCCGUC